rnacentral:tRNA from 1 species
GGAGAGGUGACCGAGAGGCCGAAGGUGCUCGCCUGCUAAGCGAGUGUAGGAUGUAAAGUCUUACCGAGGGUUCGAAUCCCUCCCUCUCCGCCA